GGCUUGGUAGUGGACGGAUCCACAUCUGCUUUCCAUACGUGGGAACUGCUCGAAGGAUCAUAUGAUGCAGACAAUGCCUGUUCGACUCAGGCCCGAGCCA